UACGUAGGGUGCGAGCGUUAAUCGGAAUUACUGGGCGUAAAGCGUGCGUAGGCGGUUCGUUAUGUCUGCUGUGAAAGCCCCGGGCUUAACCUGGGAAUGGCAGUGGAAACUGGCGGGCUUGAGUGUGGCAGAGGGGGGUGGAAUUCCGCGUGUAGCAGUGAAAUGCGUAGAGAUGCGGAGGAACACCGAUGGCGAAGGCAGCCCCCUGGGCUGACACUGACGCUGAGGAGCGAAAGCAUGGGGAGCGAACAGG
rnacentral:rRNA from 1 species